CCGUAGGGUGACCUGCGGAGGGAUCAUUACCGAGUUUACAACUCCCAAACCCUUUAUGUGAACCGUACCUAUCGUUGCUUCGGCGGGAACGCCCCGGCGCCCUGCGCCCGGAUCCAGGCGCCCGCCGGAGACCCCAAACUCUUGUGUUUUUUUCAGUAUUCUCUGAGUGGCAAACGCAAAAAUAAAUCAAAACUUUUAACAACGGAUCUCUUGGCUCUGGCAUCGAUGAAGAACGCAGCGAAAUGCGAUAAGUAAUGUGAAUUGCAGAAUUCAGUGAAUCAUCGAAUCUUUGAACGCACAUUGCGCCCGUUAGCAUUCUAGCGGGCAUGCCUGUCCGAGCGUCAUUUCAACCCUCAGGGUCCCCGUUCCGGCGGGGAACCUGGUGUUGGGGAUCGGCCCGCCCCGUGCGGCGCCGUCCCCCAAAUUCAGUGGCGGUCUCGCUGCAGCCUCCCCUGCGUAGUAGUUACAACCUCGCAUCGGAGCUCAGCGCGGCCACGCCGUAAAACCCCCGACUUUCUGAACGUUGACCUCGGAUCAGGUAGGAAUACCCGCUGAACUUAAGCAUAUCAA
rnacentral:rRNA from 1 species